CGACAGAGCAAGACUCUGUCUCAAAAAAACAACAACAAGGCCAAAUGUCACCCCAUGAUCUUAACAAGGGAACAGUCAGAAUCCAAAUCCUAAGCACACAAAGCUACUUUCUUAAGGGCAAUGGGAGAGGGAAAUUGUGAUGGCCCCAAGCUAGAACCUAAAUUACACCUUUACUUUAGAACUGAGUAUAGAAGGAUACAUAUCCUAGGGCACAGAUGGGACACCUCUGUCGAUGCUAGAAGAAUUCUAUGUGUGUUUGGAGGUGGCAUAGCAUACCUGUUAGAAAGGCUUUGCUAUUUACUACUGUGGGACCACAAGCAAGUUAUCUCUUUUCUGAACCUCAGUUUCCUCAACUAUAAAAAAGAGAUACGGAUGCUUAGCUAAUAUUGCUGGAAUUGAAUGCAGAAAUGAAAGAAAGCUUUUAGCACAGGGCUUUACCCUAACAGGCACUUACUGUUAAGAGUGGUUUAUUACCAGGUAGGUAACUAAGCAAGGAAGAUGUGUGUUAAUCAAUUUGGCAUGAGAUUUAAAAUUUUAUUACCCAACACAUUAUUUUCACUAAAGUAUCCUUGGUUAAAACUCAGUUAAUACUAGCAUUUAAUAAGAUAACUCAAAUUUCUCCAAAAAAAUGGACAAAUUGGAUGUCUUCAAUUCACUUGACUUACAAAAUGGUUUUAAUAUGAGAAUUGUCUAGUCAUAAGUUGUCACUCAAGAACAAAAAUUAUCUGUUCUGGCACUAACUGGCAUGUGAUUCUGGUGAGGCACAUCAUGACUCUGGGUCUCCUCUACAAGGAGGGGGUUGUGGGAGUGCCCUGGUUCCUUCCAUCUUGAACAUUCGUGAUUCCAAAGUAGCACUCCAGCAUAGCCCUGAUUUACUUCUAGUUCCUUUCCUUUUCAGGACAUUGACAUAAAGUAGAACUUGCUUCCAAUACGUCUUAAAGGUUAAAUGUUACACACAGCGUACAGUCAAUGCAAGGAGGCCUGCACACAGGGAACUUCUGUCUAGGACUGCGGCCGGUAAGACCUUCCUGUGUGGACCACAGCACUGCUCAGGAAAGCUGCCUGCAGGAGCUGUGAAGUUGCAGAAUUUUGGUUUAUUGGGAUGCAUCCUGGUGCUUGCCUACAGAUCUUGUUUUGCAAAGUGCAGAGGCAAUACAUGGAGAUGCAGCAGCCAUCUUGUGACCAUGAGGACAAAGAUCAUUUACCAAGGAUGACAGAAGAGAAAGUUAGCAAGAGCCUUGACCCCUGAUGAGGUGAAGUCAUUUCACCAGCCUAUCACAGCUUCUAGUCUUCUUGGGAAUAUGUUGCAAAUUCAUCCCACCUCCUGCUGCAGCUAUGAUACUCAGAGAAAGUUUACAGAAUUGCCCAGGGAGCUAUAGUUUGCAGACCUCUGACACGUCUCAAGUUUGACUAAGUAGUCGAAGACGCUAAACUGGCAGCACCCAUCCAAGUGAACAGAUUUGCCUUUGACGGCCCAGUGAGCUACUCUUUAAGAUGAGAACAACAAUAUUUUAUCCUGUCAUGGAAGGCAGGGGACUGGACUAGUUAAUUUCUUGUACCCAUCAGUUCUGGGAUCAUAAAAUCCUAUGAAUUAGAGAAAACCAACUGUAUGCUGGUGCCAGACUCUUGAACAUGAAGCAAGUAUGCAACAGACCAAUGUUUCAGCAUGUGCCUGCCCACAUGACAAACUGUUGUUUAUAGAGCACCAACUAUGCACACAAUAAUGAUGAUGACAAGUCAUUUUUGAGUGUUUACUCCUCACAACAGCCCCAUGAACUAGUUUGUAUCAUUAUCCCCACUUAAAAAAUAUAGAAACGGAGGCACAGGGAAGCCAAGUCAUUUGUCCACAGCACAAAAUCAAUAAGCAGCAGAGAUGACUUUGAACAGAGACCAUCUGUUGAAACUGACUGCAAAGAGGCACAGGGAAUUUUGAGGGGUGAUGGAAAUGUUUUUUUAUUAUAAAAUUAAAUGUCAAAGGUGGAGAACUGUUUCCCAGAGAGCAGUUUCGAAACUAUUUGUAGCUAAGUUUAAUUUGUUAUAUUUUAUUUUUAUUAUAAAUUUUU
rnacentral:lncRNA from 1 species